rnacentral:rRNA from 1 species
CACCCGCAGCUCGAGUGGUGGUCACUUUUAUUGAGCCUAAAGCGUUUGUAGCCGGUUUUGCAAAUCUUCAGAUAAAUUCCUCUGCUUAACAGAUGAUCUUCUGAAGAGACUGCGAGACUUGGGACCGGGUGAGGUUGAAGGUACUUCCGGGGUAGGGGUAAAAUCCUGUAAUCCUGGAAGGACGACCGGUGGCGAAGGCGUUCAACUAGAACGGAUCCGACGGUGAGGAACGAGGGCUAGGGUAGCAAACCGGAUUAGAUACCCGGGUAGUCCUAGCUGUAAACACUGCCCACUUGGUGUUGCCCCUCCGAUGAGGGGAGGCAGUGCCGGAGCGAAGGUGUUAAGUGGGCCGCUUGGGGAGUAUGGUCGCAAGGCUGAAACUUAAAGGAAUUGGCGGGGGAGCACCGCAACGGGAGGAGCGUGCGGUUUAAUUGGACUCAACGCCGGAAAACUCACCGGGAGCGACCUUUGGAUGAGAGUCAGCCUGAUGAGCUUACUCGAUAGAAGGAGAGGUGGUGCAUGGCCGUCGUCAGCUCGUACCGUAGGGCGUUCACUUAAGUGUGAUAACGAGCGAGACCCCCAUCUCUAAUUGCUAACGUGCAUUCGCGUGCACGCGCACUUUAGAGGGACCGCCAGUGCUAAACUGGAGGAAGGAGGGGUCGACGGCAGGUCAGUACGCCCCGAAUCUCCCGGGCAACACGCGCGCUACAAAGGGCAGGACGAUGAGUUGCCACCUCGAAAGGGGGAGCUAAUCUCGAAACCUGUUCGUAGUUAGGAUUGAGGGCUGUAACUCGCCCUCAUGAAUGUGGAUUCCGUAGUAAUCGCGGGUCAACAGCCCGCGGUGAAUAUGCCCCUGCUCCU